rnacentral:lncRNA from 1 species
GACGCCUGAAGAUUAGUUCUUCGACGAAAUUUCCUUCCUCGAUAAAAAUACCUUCAUGGAAGACCAAACAGUCAUACGCACUAACAUCUUCUCAAAAAAUAUUCUUCGCGAAGACUCGAAACGGUAUUUUUUACCAUUGAGUUUGUUGCUGAUCACAACAAACUCUCAACGUCCUAAACAGACAUAGCCAUCUCACGAAGAUGACUCUCUUACAUCCGACACAAGGAUAAAAGGAAUCCAAAAUUUUGGUCCAGCACUUCCGGUCUCCGGAGAGAUGCUCGAUUCGCAUCAAACAAGUCGUAUAAGCCGAGAACUUAUCGGGGACUUUAAAUCGAUACGAAUCAGGAAGAAAUCGCAACAGGAAAA